UGCCCCAUGGCUGAGUUGGUUACAGCGUCCGACUGUUAAAAAGUUUCCGCGAAGGUUUCUCCGCACGCCAUCUUUGGGUGUGUGUGGUUUUCGUGUGGCUUGGAUCAUCGGAAGGUCGUGAGUUCGAGCCUCACUGGGGCAG